rnacentral:rRNA from 1 species
CGGGUGAGUAACGCGUGAGUAACCUACCUUACACAAGGGGAUAGCCUCUGGAAACGGAGAAUAAUACCCUAUGAAACUAUCUUAUCGCAUGAAAAGAUAGUCAAAGUGUUUUAGCGGUGUAAGAUGGACUUGCGUCUGAUUAGCUAGUUGGUGAGAUAACAGCCCACCAAGGCAACGAUCAGUAGCCGGCUUGAGAGAGUGUACGGCCACAUUGGGACUGAGACACGGCCCAG